CUCAGUGACCCAGGAGCUGACACACUAUGGCGCACGUCCGAGGCUUGCAGCUGCCUGGCUGCCUGGCCCUGGCUGCCCUGUGUAGCCUUGUGCACAGCCAGCAUGGUUCCUGGCUCCUCAGCAAGCACGGUCGCUGCUCCAGCGGGUCCGGCGAGCCAACACCUUCUUGGAGGAGGUGCGCAAGGGCAACCUGGAGCGAGAGUGCGUGGAGGAGACGUGCAGCUACGAGGAGGCCUUCGAGGCUCUGGAGUCCUCCACGGCUACGAUGUGUUCUGGGCCAAGUACACAGUUGUGAGACAGCGAGGACGCCUCGAGAUAAGCUU
rnacentral:lncRNA from 1 species